AGGAGGCCCAUUUAAGAGCUAUUUUUGACUACCCAUUUCUCUCUGCUGCCUCUAUUCUUUAUGUAAAUCCAUUUGCGACUUCAGUAUCACUGUUCUUGCAGCAAGAUGACUGUUGUAACCACUCUGUAAAGACUCCACUCAGGCUUUCUGCCCCACCAUAAACAUCUUGAAUUAGAAACCCCACAUUGCUCAAAUCUGAUACGUGUCCCUCUUCUCUUCUUGUUGGAAGCCAUUAUCAGCAGAUGGACAUGCUGUUUUUGAAGUCCUUGGCUUUGAGCUGCAACGGACAGGGCUUUCGGAAGAUCAAAGUGGUAGAAACACCAGCAAAAAAUGGUUCUCUUCGUAGGAGGUGUGGAUCAUGAAGAAAUUUCAUGGAAGACAUGACUAUAUUUCCUUUUACUCACUUUUUUAACACUCAUGAAACUACAAGCAAACAUAAACUAGUACAGGGAUGUCUACCCGAAACUUCAAAGAGCCAAAAGCAGCAUCACCUUAGAAAAAUAAACUGCCUCAUUUGCCAAAAUGAAGGUCUGUGACCUCUCCCAUUCUGUGGCUGUGUCGCCUAGCAUUGGCCUAAUUUGUCAGGGAAUCUGAUGCAUCCAGGCCCCUCACAUGUGAUUUCUGUACCUGUUUCCUGCUUAUUACCCUUUGGUGCUCCACCUUAUCUCACAGCUGGGCUCAGGCCUAGGUAGGUUCCUCCCA